GCCGGAUCCAGCCCGCCCGACGCCCAAUAAUCACGCGUCACAGUCUUCCGCCGCAGCAAUCAAUCGCCCGCCCCCCGCCGUCCCAGCAUCGCGCUACCCUCGCAUCGCGCGUCCCUCGCCCCAAUCAAUCGCCCGCCCCCCGCAGCCGCUCUGUCUCCGGCUUCCGGCCCCUCCGCGCCACCGCCGCUCUGACCCAGUCUUCCGGCCACGCCGCACCAUCACGCCGCCGGCGAGCCUCACGUCGCCGCUCCGCCACCGCGGACUCCCCGGCCUCAUGUCGCUUGCAGGUGCUACAAGGUCUCCCAGUCUUCCGGCCACGCCACGCCAUCACGUACGUCGUCACCGGCCUCACGUCGCCGCUCCACCGCUGCGGACUCCCCGGCCUAACGUCGUACAUAAGGGCCUACUCGCUUGAAGGUGCUACAAGGUGCGGCCUCCUCUCGGGUCUUGUCUGAUCUGGUUCGGGUCCUGGCGACCUGGCGUCUCAGGGAUUGUAGAAUAGCAUUUUGAUUUCUCUCUCAGAAUGCUUGCAUACCAGGGUUGCCUUCCGCCGACGCCCACAAGGUUUAUGUCGAAUUGCCACAGAUAAUUGUCAGUGACAUACACUAUAUUUCCUUGUCAUUCACGCGGAGGGGCAGGGGAAUUAUUAGCUUUGCUGUAUCUAUUUGUUUGCAUAAGUUCAGUAUAUUUGUUCUUACAGACACCUGAUUUAGAAAUCUUCUUCGUUUAAAAAAAAGGAAUCUUCAGCACUAUAAUAUACUACAUCAAACCAAAGCAGAUUAGCACUCACUCGACACUUCGAACCAAGAUGUCUUUAGAAAAUAUGGUGGCAUUAUCUCACCCUUUUGGGGCCCAGUAAUCUUCAGUGUACAUUGGGUGUCUACAUCUGUAACCAACCCACUUCAAGCAUGCUACCUUAGAUAACGAUUACUGAUGAGUAGAGGGAGGAAAAGAACAGGAAGCGGCGUGAGGCAUAUAAGAGGAAGAAGUAUCAAUCACACAACAAGGAAAAUGAUCCAGUGGACUUCAAUACGAGUAAUCCUAAUAAUACUAAUGCGGCGGACAAAUGCAUCAUUUCUAACAACCCGGAACAUACAACUGCCUCGUCUUUGCUCAGAUGAGAAAGUGAUAGAGUUUUGGCUCCAUUGAAGUCAAUUGAUGGAAGUUUUGAAAUAAAUAAAAAGCACGGUGGAGCUGAUCAUAACAACAAAAAAUGGAAAACAGAGAAAAGCGAUUUCUGCAGCUGAAGAACAUGGUGCACCACCGUCGCUCCUACAGUCAACGAGCAUCCAACGACUCAGCUUUUCUCCAAGCAUUCCGCUGACUCAAUCCCCAAUGACAUGGUGAGGGCUAAACUCUUCGAUGCCUGGACAGAUAUCCCACCAGAUGAAGAACAUGGUGCAUCCAUCACCUAUUCUCCUACAAUCAUCGAGCAUCCCACAAGUCUGCCAAUCACUGAGCAAAUGACAGUUCCUUCUGCCAUGGUUCACUGGGAAAAACUUCAUGCUAUAUGUCUUGGAUCAUGUGGAUAAAAAGCUUAUCGUGAUUGACCCGUCAUGUGUUUCGAAGUGGUGUGAAGACAUUCCAUACAGAAAAUACGGAAAUACGAUUACACAUUUCUACAAGAAGUAUAUAGCUGCAAUGAACAUACAUAUUCCCAAUUGGAACCAGAAUAUCUACCAGUGGAAGUUCACCCAUGAGAAGGGUAUUGUUGAAGAUGACGAGCAAGGGUAAGUUAUUAUAGAUUACUAAUUGUUAAUAGCUUUUAUUUACACUGUACAACAAUAUGGUUGAAAGCUUCCGCGGCUAUUUUACGGGCUACCUGGUUCUGCAUUACAUGUCUUGGUGGAAAAGUGCCCGGAGUGUGGAGAUUUGUAAGGAUCACAUUAAGAUGCGGCAGAACUUCAUCAUCGAUCUGUUGUCAUCGGACUUGAAUGCUUAUCGAAAAUUGCUUUCUGCUGAAGUAAAAAAUUUUCUUAGCAACAUCAAUGGAUGGGAUAUAAAAUAGAAUUCACUAUAGUUUUGUUUGUAUAUGAGUGUGCUUCAGUGACAAUGACAUACCUAUGGAUUUAUUUGGAACUAUAUGUUAUUUAGUGGUAUGUAUAUAGAAUGCUCGUGCGUUCAAAUAUACUUAAACAUUUAUAGUUAUCUCGAAUUCUCGAUUGCUGAUAUGUUUAUUCCUAUUUUUUUUGCCCAUAGCAACGCACAGGCAUGAACCUAGUAUCACUAAAAAUGGCACUGGUUUUGUAGUGUUUGCUCGAGUGUCAUGUCGAGGGCUUGUUUGGAUGAGUUAUAUUUCCGUUCAGAAUAGCUUGCUGUGUAAUGUGAUGUCCUGGAAUGUGCCUAUCAUUCCCAGCUGUUGUCUAACACAUGCCACUUCCAUACCCUUAAGUUGAUCUUUCAACCCCUGCACAGGAGAAUUUACGAUAGUGUUUGUAAAUACUGGAUAAAAAUGUUUGGCUUUCCUAUUUAGUUUAUAUGUUUUUUGCAUGUCCUGCAGGGGAAAGGAGAAUUUACAAUGGAGUAUCUAGAGCACAAUAUUGUCUCGCAAGAUGUACAGAUGCAAUUAGUGAAUUCAUAGAAGGCGGCCAAGGGCACAGAUUCUUCUGGAUUACAGAGGAACAAAUUUUGUUUACUGUUUAUAUGCUAACUUGCAAUGAUUCAUACUAAAUGGUUUGAAGCAAAAAUACAAGUAUGCUGCUAUAGUCUGCAAUCCCUCGGUACAAUUAUACAAACAUCCAUUAGCAAAUGUCGGAAUUUGCUCACUUGUAAUGAUUAUCA